AUGAAUGCCAUUUGAUAGUGUUGUCGCUGGCUCCUUGGAGCAUGUGCACGCCUGUCUUGGAUUCUAUUCAUCCCCCUGUGCACUUUUUGUAGACUUUUUAGACAGGAAUUGAGGAUUGCUUUUGUGAGCUCUCCUCUGUACGUCUGCUCUGAAGUCUAUGUAUUUACUUCAUAAACGAAUAACAUUGAAUGUUUUUGAUUGCAUAUAAAAUGCUAUA
rnacentral:misc_RNA from 1 species